rnacentral:rRNA from 1 species
AGAGGGUGACCGGCCACACUGGGACUGAGACACGGCCCAGACUCCUACGGGAGGCAGCAGUGGGGAAUAUUGCACAAUGGGCGCAAGCCUGAUGCAGCGACGCCGCGUGGGGGAUGACGGCCUUCGGGUUGUAAACCCCUUUCGGCAGGGAACAAGCCUUUCGGGUUGAGGGUACCUGCGGAACAAGCGCCGGCUAACUACGUGCCAGC